UCAGCCUUCCUUGACUUGGGUCGACUCAACACUUUUUGGGUCGACUCAAGGUUCAGUUGGGUCGACUCAACUUCCACUUGGGUCGACCCUCUCAGGGUUUCCAGAGAACCUAUUUUUGAAUGUCAUUGCCUUUGGGUCGACUCAUGUUAACUUGGGGUCGACUCAAGUUUGGGUCGACUCAAGUUUCAUUUGGGUCGACCCACUCAGGAUUUCCANNNNNNNNNNNNNNNNNNNNNAGGAUUGGGUCGACUCAUCCUUUACUUGGGUCGACCCAAGUACUGUUCAUCCGUGCCAUUUUUGCAGAAGUGUGCCAGAUGGUUUCUUGAUGUGCCGGGGUCGACUCAAUCAAUCUUGGGGUCGACUCAAUCCACACUUUGCCGCAACUUAAGGUUAGAUUCAUCCAUAUAAUCAAUGAAAUAAACUUUAAACAAUUUUGAAUAUAUGUCAUGGUAGUGCUACAUGCUCCAAACAAUGAAAAUUACUAUUGUCCACUUAAGAGUAUGUCUCACUUGAAGCUUUGCCGAAUUAGAAUUUAGAAUUCACUAUCCCUUUCCUAUCGCAAAUUGUAUCUCAUUAAUAAUCAAUGAAAUGUAUCUUUAUCUCAUUAUACUAAUGUAUCGAGAGUGACGGACUUAUUAAUGAUGUAUCAAAUUAACUUGUAACAUACUCUUAAUCAUUGUAUUAAUCAUCAAAAUACCACUAUCAUCCUCAAUCUCCCCCUUUUUGAUGAUUACAAAAUACUGAGUAUGAGCCUAUUGAUACUUAACUAAAAAUUAGUUUUAGAAGGGCUCAAGUUGCUGAAUUUCAGCUUUUCAAAUUUGAGAGUGAAGUCUCCCCUUAUUUCAUCCAAAUGUUUCCAAUUUGACCUUUUGAAUUACUCCCCCUUUCUUUUAUAUUUCAUUCAAGAUGAAACUUCAAAAAUUUGAGAUAAAGCAUGAGUUUCAAAUUAUGUAUCGAGGUGUGA
rnacentral:lncRNA from 1 species